rnacentral:rRNA from 1 species
UAUGGUGACUAUAGCGGUGGUGAUCACCUCUUCCCAUUCCGAACAGAGAAGUUAAGCCCACCCGCGCCGAUGAUACUGCCGAAAGGUGGGAAAGUAGGUCGUCGCCAAUU